rnacentral:lncRNA from 1 species
CUAAAUGGAUGUGAAACACCUGGGACUGAGGGUGGAGCAUAACGACCACCAAAAGGAGGUUCCUGACCCGCGGCAACAGCGUCUUCAUGAUGUUUCUGCAAAUAACGAAGCAUUGCUUUCUCCAACAUGCUCAUUUUCUUCGGCUUCUCCUGAGGGCCAACUACGAUUUUCCCCUUGCCGAAAGAGGAACGACGAUUGCCCCCACCAUCACCACUUCCUCCAGUAGCAGAAGCCAUCUAUGUACAAAAAUUCUUACCUUAGAACUGCAGAACUUGUUGAACUUGAAGACCGUGAUCGUCUCGGUGAGCAUGUUCUCAACUGGCGGCACCGUACUUCGUCAUGAAAUAGGUUCGAUUUUACGAGAAAGGGGACACAGUCUUCCACGAUGUCUGUUGCCGCUCUUUCUCAUAAAAUCGAACCUCCUCCUUGACGUCCGUUGCUGCUCCACGGAGAACAUGCUUACUGAGAUGACCACGGUAUGCCUGCAGAACUUGUUGAACUUAAAGACCGUGAUCAUCUAGCAAGCAUGUUCUCAACUGGGCGGCACCGCACUUCGUCAUGAAAGAGGUUCGAUUCUACGGAAAAGGGGACAUGGUCACGAUGUCCGUAUCCACUCUUUCUCGUAGAAUCGAACCUCCUUCUUGACAUACUUUGCUGCUCGAUGGAGAACAUCCUCGCAGAGAUGAACAUGGUAUGCAAGUUCAACAAGUAUGGAUUUGAAAAACCAUAUUGAAUUUGAUAAGAUAAACCGUUUAGACAAGGUAGCAUCAUUCUUAAACCACUACAAGAAUACAUACUAUAUAUGACACAUCAAUCUCCUUCACAUUCUAGUUCAAAAUACCUCUCCAUUUUCUAUUUCAUCACAUUCUAGCAAAUAAACUUUCCAUCUCCAAAUCAUAAAUCAAAGUGUAACACGAGGAUGAAGUAGCAAACCUUCACAACACUUGUGUUGGCUGAGUGAAAUUCCCACGAAAAUGAGGGAAAAAAAUUCGGGCAGCACCUCCCUUGCUUCGGCACCACCGGAGAGUAGGUGAAGCUGAGCUCUCUGUCUUUGUGGUGGACUGGCUUGGACU